CCAGACCAUGCCUAGUGUACUAAAGACUGAAAAGCACUGCUCAGGUAUUCAAAAGCCCCUCUCUGGCUUGAGACAAAGCACUGGAGAGUACUACAUAUGUAUACAGUAGUACGACUAUAUCCCUGGAGGUGGCUUUCUAGCUAUGGAGCUCUGGUACCCCACCAGCCCUCGGCAGGCCAGGAGCCCUACGUGCUCGCUCACGGCCAGCACAACCUCAGGCGCUCUGUCUACUAAGUUUCGCCUUCUCGUGUGUGGCCCCAUGGGUCCUAGUGAACUCCCUCUGGCCCCAGCACCUGUACAGCUGCCUCUCCUGGACAGCCCAGCUUGUGCCCCUACUGGCGCCCACCUUGGGAGUUGCCUGCACAAGCAGAAGACCACCUUGUAUA
rnacentral:lncRNA from 1 species